ACCCCAGCUGCUCCCUUGUAUUUUUAUCUUAAAACAAAAACCACCAUUUCUCUUCUCUUCAACCAAGGUCUGGUGUCUGUACCGUCAACACUAGUAGAGUUCAAGCAAUGGAUGAUUCGGAAUCUGGUUCAGAGCCUCAGCUAGAGAACAGUCCAAACAAUGUUGAGAAACAACCUAAGAAGACACCUCGAAGUUCGACGAGGCUACCACUUUUUGUGAGUGAGAACAUACCGGCGAAGAAGCUGGUCCUUUUGAAUGACGUCGGCAUGCCAGUAGUAAGGGGUCAAGUUAAUUUGAAAAGCUACAUGG